UACGAAGGUGGCAAGCGUUACUCGGAAUUACUAGGCGUAAAGGGCAGGUAGGUGGUUCGGUAAGUCUGUUGUGUAAGCUCCCGGCUUAACUGGGAGAGGUCAACGGAAACUACCGGACUUGAGUAUGGGAGAGGGUUCUGGAAUUCCCGGUGUAGCGGUGAAAUGCGCAGAUAUCGGGAGGAACACCAAUGGCGAAAGCAGGAGCCUGGACCAUUACUGACACUCAGCUGCGAAAGCUAGGGGAGCAAACAGG
rnacentral:rRNA from 1 species